rnacentral:rRNA from 1 species
AUUGAACGCUGGCGGCAGGCCUAACACAUGCAAGUCGAGCGGAUGAAGGGAGCUUGCUCCUGGAUUCAGCGGCGGACGGGUGAGUAAUGCCUAGGAAUCUGCCUGGUAGUGGGGGAUAACGUCCGGAAACGGGCGCUAAUACCGCAUACGUCCUGAGGGAGAAAGGGGGGGAGCUUCGGACCUCACGCUAUCAGAUGAGCCUAGGUCGGAUUAGCUAGUUGGUGGGGUAAAGGCCUACCAAGGCGACGAUCCGUAACUGGUCUGAGAGGAUGAUCAGUCACACUGGAACUGAGACACGGUCCAGACUCCUACGGGAGGCAGCAGUGGGGAAUAUUGGACAAUGGGCGCAAGCCUGAUCCAGCCAUGCCGCGUGUGUGAAGAAGGUCUUCGGAUUGUAAAGCCCUUUAAGUUGGGAGGAAGGGCAGUAAGUUAAUACCUUGCUGUUUUGACGUUACCCACAGAAUAAGCACCGGCUAACUUCGUG